GAACAUCCAACAUGCAGAUGAAUUCUUGUAAGUCACUAAGCAUAACAUUGCUUAACUUAUCUCACCAAGGACACUUCUACCGCUACACUUAUCUAACUGUCUACCACUACACUUAUCUGUGAAGUGCAUGAUGAAACUGCACCAGCACUUGUACAGUCAUCCAACCCUAGUGCCUUGCUAGCAAAGCCCUGUGCUUAGAGGGUAGAAAAAGCUACCCAGGAAUUAAUACACUGCACUAUUACUUUGCUGUACUUGGAGAAUUUCUGGGCUCUACAAGGUCUUUCGGAUUUCAGAGUUGUUGACUCAAGGAACAAAGAUCAUGUGACUGACUAACCUGUCCCUUAAGACAAGACAAGUAGCAACCUACUAAUGGCUUCCAAGACAGUUGUGUCCUAUUUAAAGAUGAAAAUAUGUAGCGUGGACCAUGCAAGUAGAUGAAUUACUGAAUAUUCAAG